AGCCCUGCAUCUGGUACACGCAAUGGAUGAUCCCACAGGUCCUUCGCGCGUUUCAUCCAGUUCUCGCUCCACCACAGAUGACGUCCACGGUUUGACCAUUCCUCAGCCGACAGUUUCUUCUGCCUGCUAAUGCCCACUGCGUUCUCGUGAUGGACCUUUGCUCGGCGACCUGCAGUCAAUUGCCUUGCCAACCUUCGCACCUGGCACACGCAAGGGACAAUCCUGCCGGUCCUUGUACGUCAUCCACUCCUUGCUUCAGAGAAGAUGACGACCCCACUAGACCGUCCCUCAGCAGACGGUGUUUCUUCUCCCUGCUAUUACCCACCACGCUCUACUGGUGGACCUUUGCUGCGUGAUCUGCAAUAACUCGCCUUUUCGACCUUCGAUCUCAUCCGGUAGGUGCUAUGUCCAAACCCGCAUUGCCUUCCGCGUCCGGCCUGUGCCCCUUGGGUGGCCAAGACAAUCCUCCAGAUACCCCUGUCCUGCGGCCAUGGCGUACCUUCGUCCACAACGAUUCACCUUCCGGUUCCUGCUUCUUCCUUGCCUUCUGGGGAAUGCAUCGUGCAGGAAAGCCCAUCGCUGUGGCCCGCCCUUCUGUCUUCACUCCACGGGAGGACUCUCUUCGGCGUUGCUGCUCGUCGUCACUCCGCUGUGACCACUUGCGGAUGACGAGUGGGCGACGGUCUGCAUCUCACUUUGCCCCCGCGAGACAUGCCAGCGACCUCUGGAAUCACCCUGGGCUACCAGCUACCCGUGAGAAGCUGUACAACACCUUCACGUCGAUGAUCUAAAACCUACUAUCGUACAGAGCUGUUCGAAGGAUACUCGCAAGGGU